CGCUUGUCAAUUCAUUCUUUCCUUCCUUCCCUUCUAAUCUUUCUACCAAGCCUCGUUGGGAUAGUAGCAAAAAAGUCUGCAAGCUAAACUUCCCUCGGUUGUUAAAGUUACAACUUAGAAAUCUUCCGCAAUUCAGUGGUCGGUGGUUGAAUGGUUUGGCUCCAACAUGCAAGUAACUCUAAUGACGUCGCGGGACAACACUAACUCUAGACGUUCCAGGAGGUCAACACGCACGCCAGUUUGACCGCCUGGAAUUUCUAGAAUUAAUGUUGUGCCGAUCGUUGCAAGUUAUUGUUGCUUGGCAAGAACAGGGACAUCACCAUGAGGAGGAAGCCAGUGAGUUCAACUUCCCUAAUUUGACAGACUUGAGCUUGGAUAUCUACUAAGCCUUGUAAGGACGAUCAGUAGCAAAAAAGACUGCAAGCUAAACUUCCCUCGGUUGUUAAAGCUACGCGCGACUCAGAAAUCUUCCGCAGUUCAGUGGUCGGUGGUUGAAUGGUUUGGGUCCAACAAGUAACUCUAAUGACGUCGCUGUACAAUAUCUAUUCGACCCCAAUGUCUUUUUGCUCUGAUGCGAGGUCACUUUAUGAUGUGAGAUCAGUUUUCUCCGAGGCGCCAAUGAAGAAAAGUCUCAGUGCAAAGAAGCGUUCAGAAUUCGGGGCAGAAAAGCCUCAGGUCUAUCACAAGCACCAACAACAGCCAGGAUUUCGUUUCCCAAACUUUCGGCACCAAAGCUCUCGUCGCCAAAACUUCACUACCCAAAACUCCCACCGUCGAAAGUUUCUUCAGAAAUGCAAUUUCACCGGAAAAGAGAGAAAAAAUACAUUGGGGUCAAAUAGAUAUUGUACAGCGACUUCAUUAGAGUUACUUGUUGGACCCAAACCAUUCAACCACCGACCAAAGUUGAACUCACUGGCUUCCUCCUCAUGGUGAUGUCCCAGUUCUUGCCAAGCAACAAUAACUUGCAAUGGUAGGCAAAAUAUUAAUUCUCGACGUUCCAGGCGGUCAGACUGGCUUUCGCCUGUCUUCCAAACAUGCCUUAAUUAAACCACAUAUACCACUGCCAGUGGUGUCGCUUAAAUCACUAGGAUAUUUAAAGGUACUAUCUACGGCUGAUAGAGGAAUACUACAAAUAAACAAUCAGAUCAUCAGAUCAUGGAUUUCAAAGUCUUUGAGCAUCUAACACAACUAGUUGUCAGUGGAUGUCAGAGUUUGAGGUAAGGUGUGCUCUUCUUCCAUUGCCAAAAGUCUUGUGAACCUUUAAGAACUAUAUAUCAGGGAGUGCCACGGGAUGGAAGAAAUAAUAGCAGCAGAAGAGCGAGAAGAAGCAACGGACAACAUGUUCCCUCAUCUCAUAUAUUUGACACUUGAGAAACUACCAAAUCUCGGUGACAUGUAUAAGCGUGGGCUGGGCUAAGAGUUUUUUUUUUUUUUUUUUUUUUUUUUUUUUUUUAAAGAAACUACCAGAUCUUGUUAGUUUUUCUAG